ACUUAAAUAGUUUAACAAAAAAAAUAUUAUACUUUCAAUGUAAAGCUGACCCAUUAUCUUUAAGUU
rnacentral:tRNA from 1 species